rnacentral:rRNA from 1 species
UCACCUGGCGGCAGGCUAACACCUGCAGUUUAACGGUACAGGAUGUGCUUGCCCAUCGCUUACGAGUGGCGGACGGGUGAGUAAUGCUUAGGGAUCUGCCUCUGUGUGGGGGAUAACUAUUGGAAACGAUAGCUAAUACCGCAUAAUGUUUACGGACCAAAGGGGGCGUUUGCUCCCGCGCAGAGAGGAACCUAAGUGAGAUUAGCUAGUUGGUAAGGUAAUGGCUUACCAAGGCGACGAUCUCUAGCUGUUCUGAGAGUGAAGAUCAGCCACACUGGGACUGAGACACUGGCCCAGACUCCUACGGGAGUGCAGCAGUGGGGAAUAUUGCACAAUGGGGGGAACCCUGAUGCAGCCAUGCCGCGUGUGUGAAGAAGGCCUUCGGGUUGUAAAGCACUUUCAGUUGUGAGGAAAGGUUAGUAGUUAAUACCUGCUAGCUGUGACGUUAGCAACAGAAGAAGCACCGGCUAACUCCGUGACCAGCAGCCGCGGUAAUACGGCAGGGUGCGAGCGUUAAUCGGAAUUACUGGGCGUAAAGACGCACUGCACAGGCGGUUUGUUAAGCUAGAUGUGAAAGCCCCGAGCUCAACUUGGGAUGGUCAAUUUUAAGACACUGGCACGACUAGAGUCUUGGAGAGGGGAGUGGAAUUUCUAGUGUAGCCGGUAAAAUGCG